rnacentral:rRNA from 1 species
UUAGAGUUUGAUCCUGGCUCAGGAUGAACGCUAGUGGCAGGCUUAACACAUGCAAGUCGAGGGGCAGCGAGAUCAGUGCUUGCACUGAUUGUCGGCGACCGGCGCACGGGUGCGUAACGCGUAUGCAACCUACCCAUUACAGGGGGAUAACACUGAGAAAUCGGUACUAAUACCCCAUAACAUCCAGGGAGGCAUCUUCUUGGGUUGAAAACUCCGGUGGUAAUGGAUGGGCAUGCGUUGUAUUAGUUAGUUGGUGGGGUAACGGCUCACCAAGACAACGAUACAUAGGGGGACUGAGAGGUUAACCCCCCACAUUGGUACUGAGACACGGACCAAACUCCUACGGGAGGCAGCAGUGAGGAAUAUUGGUCAAUGGACGCAAGUCUGAACCAGCCAUGCCGCGUGCAGGAAGACGGCUCUAUGAGUUGUAAACUGCUUUUGUACGAGGGUAAACGCAGAUACGCGUAUCUGUCUGAAAGUAUCGUACGAAUAAGGAUCGGCUAACUCCGUGCCAGCAGCCGCGGUAAUACGGAGGAUUCAAGCGUUAUCCGGAUUUAUUGGGUUUAAAGGGUGCGUAGGCGGUCGGAUAAGUUAGAGGUGAAAUCCCGGGGCUCAACUUCGGAAUUGCCUCUGAUACUGUUCGGCUAGAGAGUAGUUGCGGUAGGCGGAAUGUAUGGUGUAGCGGUGAAAUGCUUAGAGAUCAUACAGAACACCGAUUGCGAAGGCAGCUUACCAAGCUACUUCUGACGUUGAGGCACGAAAGCGUGGGGGAGCAAACAGGAUUAGAUACCCUGGUAGUCCACGCAGUAAACGAUGAUAACUCGUUUGUCGGCGAUACAGUGUCGGUGACUAAGCGAAAGCGAUAAGUUAUCCACCUGGGGAGUACGUUCGCAAGAAUGAAACUCAAAGGAAUUGACGGGGGCCCGCACAAGCGGAGGAACAUGUGGUUUAAUUCGAUGAUACGCGAGGAACCUUACCCGGGCUUGAAAGUUAGUGACGGAUCUUGAAAGAGGUCUUCCCUUCGGGGCACGAAACUAGGUGCUGCAUGGUUGUCGUCAGCUCGUGCCGUGAGGUGUCGGGUUAAGUCCCAUAACGAGCGCAACCCCUACCGUUAGUUGCCAGCAGGUCAAGCUGGGCACUCUGACGGGACUGCCGGUGUAAGCCGAGAGGAAGGUGGGGAUGACGUCAAAUCAGCACGGCCCUUACGUCCGGGGCUACACACGUGUUACAAUGGCAGGUACAGAGGGCAGCUACCCAGCGAUGGGAUGCGAAUCUCGAAAGCCUGUCUCAGUUCGGAUUGGAGGCUGAAACCCGCCUCCAUGAAGUUGGAUUCGCUAGUAAUCGCGCAUCAGCCAUGGCGCGGUGAAUACGUUCCCGGGCCUUGCACACACCGCCCGUCAAG